rnacentral:rRNA from 1 species
AUUGAACGCUGGCGGCAGGCCUAACACAUGCAAGUCGAACGGUAACAGGAAGAAGCUUGCUUCUUUGCUUACGAGGGGCGGACGGGUGAGUCAUGUCUGGGAAACUGCUUGAUGGAGGGGGAUAACUACUGGAAACGGUAGCUAAUACCGCAUAACGUCUCAAGACCAAAGAGGGGGACUUUCGGGCCGCCUUCCAUCGGAUGUGCCCAGAUGGGAUUAGCUAGUAGGUGGGGUAACGGCUCACCUAGGCGACGAUCCCUAGCUGGUCUGAGAGGAUGACCCGCCACACUGGAACUGAGACACGGUCCAGACUCCUACGGGAGGCAGCAGUGGGGAAUAUUGCACAAUGGGCGCAAGCCUGAUGCAGCCAUGCCGCGUGUAUGAAGAAGGCCUUCGGGUUGUAAAGUACUUUCAGCGGGGAGGAAGGGAGUAAAGUUAAUACCUUUGCUCAUUGACGUUACCCGCAGAAGAAGCCCCGGCUAACUCCGUG